rnacentral:rRNA from 1 species
CCUACGGGUGACAGCAGUGGGGAAUAUUGGGCAAUGGAGGCAACUCUGACCCAGCAAUGCCGCGUGAGUGAUGAAGGUAAUUUUAUUGUAAAGCUCUUUUCUUUGGAACGUAUAAAUGACGGUACCAAAGGAAUAAGCUCUGGCUAACUACGUGCCAGCAGCUGCGGUAAUACGGGGGGGGCCAGCGUUUUUCGGGAUGACUGGGUGUAAAGGGUGUGUAGGGGUUUGGAUAAGUUAGAUGUGUAAUACCCAGGGCUUAACUAGGGUGCUGCAUCUAAAACUGUUAGACUUGAGUAUUGGAGAGGAUAGUGGAAUUCCUAGUGUAGCGGUGAAAUGCGUAGAUAUUAGGAAGAACAUCAGUGGCGAAGGCGACUAUCUGAACAGCAACUGACACUGAGGCACGAAAGCGUGGGGAGCAAACAGGAUUAGAUACCCCAGUAGUC